rnacentral:rRNA from 1 species
AAUCAACGCUGGCGGCGUGCCUCAGACAUGCAAGUCGAACGAUUAAAGCUCUCUUCGGAGAGUGUAUAGAGUGGCGCACGGGUGAGUAACACGUAAGUAAUCUACCUUCGAGUGGGGAAUAACGUCCGGAAACGGACGCUAAUACCGCAUAAUGCAGCGGCACCGCAAGGUGACAGUUGUUAAAGAUUUAUUGCCUGGGGAGGAGCUUGCGGCAGAUUAGCUUGUUGGUAAGGUAACGGCUUACCAAGGCUACGAUCUGUAUCCGGUCUAAGAGGACGGUCGGACACACUGACACUGAAUAACGGGUCAGACUCCUACGGGAGGC